CAUGCACCAUCGUUAACAAGGGAUCUAAAGCAAGGUAGCCAUCCAUCAUCUCAUGUCAUGGAUGCAUACAUCCAAAGCCCAAGCAUGGAAUGGAAAAACUCCCUGACAAUCCUAUGUAAUUUUAUUUUCUAAAGACAAAAAAAAAAAAAAGGAAAACCCAUGACCCCAAUAGUUAUCAACAUCUUUUUCCACCUUCUCAUAAUGUUCUUGAACUAAAGUAAGAGCAUUCUUAAUUAACUAGGCAAGGUCUUAACAUGACCUUAGGACAUGCAAUCAAGUUUUCUAGACCAUAUGCGUUUAAAACAAAAAUCACACCCCAUCCCCUUCAGUAUCCGUAGCAAGUGGCCCAGGUUAGGACUUAGAAGAUCCACACACCAUACGACACUAUAUGUUAACUUCAUUGCACAUAAAUGAAAAGGGGGAGUUUGCCUUUGCAGUAGCAUGCACAUAUGUAAAAGAUUACAACUAUAUGAGAACAGGUAGAAGCUUUAUACCUUGAGUGAUUAUGACGGAGAUAGCUCCACUGGAUAUCCCGUACCUCUUCUUCACUCUUUUUUUGAGUGGCUAGUGCUUGAAUAAAGCUAAGUCCAGAGAGGUCAGAGGCAAGAAAGUAGAACGAGCACGCUGAAGAUGCACAUGGACGAUGUGAGUGGGCUCCUGGCCUGCCUUGGGUUUUGAUUCCGGUAAUGAACACCUCAGGUUAAUGGUACUGUGGAAACAGCGGCUAUGGUUUCUGGAGUCAACGUGGGGCAAGAUAGAAACUCGACGGUGGCGAAAAGAGACAGCGCUGAUGAGAGAGUCUGUAUUGUUUUUUUGUUUCCAGUUACAGCUAAAAGGUGGUUUGAAAAUGAUAAUCUAAUUAUUUUAGUUUUUUUUUUUUUUGGUAAAGAAGAAGCUCGCUAAUGGGUGUGGACGUAUGGGAAC